GCUGCAUCUGCCUCAGGGAUACAUGUGCCUGUGUUGUAUGAAAGGCAGUUACUAUCUUUUCCCUGGACCACCCUGGAAGUGAACUCUGCUUCUCCCCACAAGAACAAAAUUCUGUGCUGCACAGGUCUCAAGGUGCAGUCCCCAUGGAAUUCCCACCAACCAAUUCACCAUUUUUACCUGCUCUGCUGACCUGGGACUCUCAGCUGUCAGUCUCAGCUCGCCUCCUGGUCAGACCGCAUUUCUCUCCUCCUCAGCUCCAUGUACUCACAGGCCCAUCCAUCACCCUCUCCUGCUCUGCGGGGAUCGGCCGGGACAAGAACUGCAGGGAAACAAGGAGCCGAAGUUGUCGGUGACAGAGAUGUCAGGCGCUGGAAAGAUUGAAGGGAACGAAAGAAAAGUGAUUUCUCCAUUCAGCAUUCUUGAUGCUCAAAUGGAAAUGAGGUCACAUGAUGCCAUCACCAUGGGCAAAUUCAGGGAAGACGCUCGAAGUCAUCAAAUAAGCCAAUAGCUCCAUCCACUGAAAGGUAGACAUGAGCAGGAAUGAGAAGCCCUGGCUCCAGUUAUGACCUGCUUGACCUUUCUGGCUUCUGGACUUUUCUUCUGCAAAUUGAAAUCUUGGGAAGGAUCUUCAUUGAGUUCCCAUCCAGCUUCUGCAAACCUUGCAGUUACAACUUUCCUGAACCAAAGCUGGUGGAAAAAUUGAGUUAGGUGGGAGAUUCCCAGGGACCUAAGAUCAGAGCUCACCCCAGAAUCUCAACCCACCACAGCUGAGGGAUACCCAGCUCUGGAUAUAGCUCGGGUAAGCCCAUGUCCUUUGAAAUACAGAACUCAAAAUUCCAUGACCUGGAAUACUCCUUACCCAUCUGAUAAUCUUUUUGUCCAUGAUAAAUAUUUUAU